UACGGAGGAUGCGAGCGUUAUCCGGAUUUAUUGGGUUUAAAGGGUGCGUAGGCGGGAUGCCAAGUCAGCGGUAAAAAUGCGGUGCUCAACGCCGUCGAGCCGUUGAAACUGGCGUUCUUGAGUGGGCGAGAAGUACGCGGAAUGCGGGGUGUAGCGGUGAAAUGCAUAGAUAUCACGCAGAACUCCGAUUGCGAAGGCGGCAUACCGGCGCCCUACUGACGCUGAGGCACGAAAGCGUGGGUAUCGAACAGG
rnacentral:rRNA from 1 species